CCAAGUUUUUAAGGGCGCACGGUGGAUGCCUUGGCACCAGGAACCGAUGAAGGACGUGGGAGGCCACGAUAGGCCCCGGGGAGCUGUCAACCAAGCUGUGAUCCGGGGGUGUCCGAAUGGGGAAACCCGGCAGUCGUCAUGGGCUGUCACCCGCACCUGAAUGUAUAGGGUGUGUGGAGGGAACGCGGGGAAGUGAAACAUCUCAGUACCCGCAGGAAGAGAAAACAACAGUGAUUCCGGGAGUAGUGGCGAGCGAAACUGGAUGAGGCUAAACCGUAUGUGUGUGAUACCCGGCAGGGGUUGCGCAUACGGGGUCGUGGGAGUUUCCUUCAGUCGUCUGCCGGCGGCUGGGCGAGUAAGAAACCAUUGUGGUAGGCGAAGGGCAUGCGAAAGGCCCGGCGUAGAGGGUAAGACCCCCGUAGCUGAAACUGCAAUGGCUCGUUUGGGAGCCACCCAAGUAGCACAGGGCCCGAGAAAUCCUGUGUGAAUCUGGCGGGACCACCCGUUAAGCCUAAAUAUUCCCUGGUGACCGAUAGCGGAUAGUACCGUGAGGGAAUGGUGAAAAGUACCGCGGGAGCGGAGUGAAAUAGUACCUGAAACCGUGUGCCUACAAGCCGUGGGAGCGUCGCAUGCAGGGCUUGUCUCUGUAUGUCGUGACUGCGUGCCUUUUGAAGAAUGAGCCUGCGAGUUUGCGGUGUGUUGCGAGGUUAACCCGUGUGGGGGAGCCGUAGCGAAAGCGAGUCCGAAUAGGGCGUUCAGUAGCAUGCUCAAGACCCGAAGCGGAGUGAUCUAGCCAUGGGCAGGGUGAAGCGGCUGUAAGAGGUCGUGGAGGCCCGAACCCACCAGAGUUGAAAAUCUGGGGGAUGACCUGUGGUUAGGGGUGAAAGGCCAAUCAAACUCCGUGAUAGCUGGUUCUCCCCGAAAUGCAUUUAGGUGCAGCGUCGUGUGUUUCUUGCCGGAGGUAGAGCACUGGAUAGGCGAUGGGCCUUACCGGGUUACUGACCUUAGCCAAACUCCGAAUGCCGGUAAGUGAGAGCACGGCAGUGAGACUGUGGGGGAUAAGCUCCAUGGUCGAGAGGGAAACAGCCCAGAGCAUCGACUAAGGCCCCUAAGCGUGUGCUAAGUGGGAAAGGAUGUGGAGUCGCAGAGACAACCAGGAGGUUGGCUUAGAAGCAGCCACCCUUGAAAGAGUGCGUAAUAGCUCACUGGUCUAGUGAUUCUGCGCCGACAAUGUAGCGGGGCUCAAGUACACCGCCGAAGUCGUGUCAUUCGAGCAUAUACCUCUAACGGGGGUUCGGAUGGGUAGGGGAGCGUCGUGUGCCGGGUGAAGCAGCCGUGGAAACGAGUUGUGGACGGUUCACGAGUGAGAAUGCAGGCAUGAGUAGCGAUACACACGUGAGAAACGUGUGCGCCGAUUGACUAAGGGUUCCUGGGUCAAGCUGAUCUGCCCAGGGUAAGUCGGGACCUAAGGCGAGGCCGACAGGCGUAGUCGAUGGACAACCGGUUGAUAUUCCGGUACCCGCUUUGAAGCGCCAACGCUGAAUCUGGUGAUGCUAAGCCCGUGAAGCCCCCUGCAUUUUGUCUUUGACAGGUGUGGGUGUGGUGGAGCCGGUGACCCGAGCUGGUAGUAGGUGAGUGAUGGGGUGACGCAGGAAGGUAGUCCAUCCCGGGCGGUGGUUGUCCCGGGGUAAGGGUGUAGGACGAGAGGUAGGUAAAUCCGUCUCUCAUGUGUCUGAGACCUGAUGCCGAGCCGAUUGUGGUGAAGUGGAUGAUCCUAUGCUGUCGAGAAAAGCCUCUAGCGAUGUUUCAUGGCGGCCCGUACCCUAAACCGACUCAGGUAGUCAGGUAGAGAAUACCGAGGCGUUCGGGUGAACUAUGGUUAAGGAACUCGGCAAAAUGCCCCCGUAACUUCGGGAGAAGGGGGGCCAUGUUCGGUGAUAGGCCUUGCGCCUUGAGCUGGGUGUGGCCGCAGAGACCAGCGAGAAGCGACUGUUUACUAAAAACACAGGUCCGUGCGAAGCCGUAAGGCGAUGUAUACGGACUGACGCCUGCCCGGUGCUGGAACGUUAAGGGGACCGGUUAGUCAGGAUUCGUUCUGGCGAAGCUGAGAACUUAAGCGCCAGUAAACGGCGGUGGUAACUAUAACCAUCCUAAGGUAGCGAAAUUCCUUGUCGGGUAAGUUCCGACCUGCACGAAUGGCGUAACGACUUCUUGACUGUCUCAACCAUAGGCCCGGUGAAAUUGCAUUACGAGUAAAGAUGCUCGUUUCGCGCAGCAGGACGGAAAGACCCCGGGACCUUUACUAUAGCUUGAUAUUGGUGUUCGGUUCGGCUUGUGUAGGAUAGGUGGGAGACUGUGAAGCAUGCACGCCAGUGUGUGUGGAGUCGUUGUUGAAAUACCACUCUGGUCGUGCUGGAUGUCUAACCUGGGUCCGUGAUCCGGAUCAGGGACAGUGUCUGGUGGGUAGUUUAACUGGGGCGGUUGCCUCCUAAAGAGUAACGGAGGCGCCCAAAGGUUCCCUCAGCCUGGUUGGUAAUCAGGUGUUGAGUGUAAGUGCACAAGGGAGCUUGACUGUGAGACUGACGGGUCGAGCAGGGACGAAAGUCGGGACUAGUGAUCCGGCGGUGGCUUGUGGAAGCGCCGUCGCUCAACGGAUAAAAGGUACCCCGGGGAUAACAGGCUGAUCUUCCCCAAGAGUCCGUAUCGACGGGAUGGUUUGGCACCUCGAUGUCGGCUCGUCGCAUCCUGGGGCUGGAGUCGGUCCCAAGGGUUGGGCUGUUCGCCCAUUAAAGCGGCACGCGAGCUGGGUUUAGAACGUCGUGAGACAGUUCGGUCCCUAUCCGCUGCGCGCGCAGGAGUCUUGAGAAGGGCUGUCCCUAGUACGAGAGGACCGGGACGGACGAACCUCUGGUGUGCCAGUUGUUCUGCCAAGGGCAUGGCUGGUUGGCUACGUUCGGGAAGGAUAACCGCUGAAAGCAUCUAAGCGGGAAGCCUGCUUCGAGAUGAGGACUCCCUCCCACUUGAUGGGGUAAGGCCCCCUGUAGACGACGGGGUUGAUAGGCCAGAUAUGGAAGCCCAGUAAUGGGUGGAGUUGACUGGUACUAAUAGGCCGAGGGCUUGUCCA
rnacentral:rRNA from 2 species